UACGAAGGGGGCUAGCGUUGUUCGGAUUUACUGGGCGUAAAGCGCACGUAGGCGGAUUGUUAAGUCAGAGGUGAAAUCCUGGAGCUCAACUCCAGAACUGCCUUUGAUACUGGCAAUCUAGAGUCCGGAAGAGGUAAGUGGAACUCCUAGUGUAGAGGUGGAAUUCGUAGAUAUCAGGAAGAACACCAGUGGCGAAGGCGGCUUACUGGUCCGGUACUGACGCUGAGGCGCGAAAGCCAGGGGAGCAAAC
rnacentral:rRNA from 1 species